rnacentral:rRNA from 1 species
AUUCCAGCUCCAAUAGCGUAUACUAAAGUUGUUGCAGUUAAAAAGCUCGUAGUUGAAUUUCUGGAUGUGAAAGGUGGUCGGCACCUCACGGUGUCUGUACUUAUCAUUCGCGUCCAUCCUCGGGAGGAACAUGUGGACACUUAAGUGGGUCUGCUUGGGAAUCUCGUCAUUUACUGUGAGCAAAAUAGAGUGUUCAAAGCAGGCUUAUGCCGUUGAAUAUAUUAGCAUGGAAUAAUAAGAUACGACUUUGGUCUAUUUUGUUGGUUUACAUUCCAAAGUAAUGAUUAAUAGGGAUAGUUGGGGGUAUUCGUAUUCAAUUGUCAGAGGUGAAAUUCUUGGAUUUAUGGAAGACGAACUACUGCGAAAGCAUUUACCAAGGAUGUUUUCAUUA